CGUUGAUACUGCUUGACUUGAAUGCGGAUGCCGUGGGAGGAAUGUGUGGUAUAGCGGUGAAAUGCAUAGAUAUCACACAGAACACCGAUUGCGAAGGCAUCUCACGAAUCCGCUAUUGACGCUGAGGCACGAAAGCGUGGGGAUCAAACAGGAUUAGAUAUCCUGGUAGUGACGCUGUAAACGAUGAUGACAAACCGUCGGCGAUAUACAGUCGGUGGCCAAGCGAAAGCGAUAAGUUAUCCACCUGGGGAGUACGACCGCAAGGUUGAAACUCAAAGGAAUUGACGGGGGCCCGCACAAGCGGAGGAACAUGUGGUUUAAUUCGAUGAUACGCGAGGAACCUUACCCGGGCUCGAACGGCAGGGGAAUUAAUCAGAGAUGGUUAAGUCUUCGGACUCCUGUCGAGGUGCUGCAUGGUUGUCGUCAGCUCGUGCUGUGAAGUGUCGGCUUAAGUGCCAUAACGAGCGCAACCCUUGCCAUUAGUUGCCAUCAGGUUAUGCUGGGGACUCUAGUGGGACUGCCACCGCAAGGUGUGAGGAAGGGGGGGAUGACGUCAAAUCAGCACGGCCCUUACGUCCGGGGCGACACACGUGUUACAAUGGUGGGUACAGAGGGAAGCUACCUGGCGACAGGAUGCAGAUCUCGAAAACCCAUCCCAGUUCGGAUUGGAGUCUGCAACCCGACUCCAUGAAGUUGGAUUCGCUAGUAAUCGCGCAUCAGCCAUGGCGCGGUGAAUACGUUCCCGGGCCUUGUACACAC
rnacentral:rRNA from 1 species